rnacentral:rRNA from 1 species
AUACGGAGGGGGUUAGCGUUGUUCGGAAUUACUGGGCGUAAAGCGCACGUAGGCGGAUUGGAAAGUUGGGGGUGAAAUCCCAGGGCUCAACCCCGGAACUGCCUCCAAAACUUCCAAUCUAGAGAUCGAGAGAGGUGAGUGGAAUUCCAAGUGUAGAGGUGAAAUUCGUAGAUAUUUGGAGGAACACCAGUGGCGAAGGCGGCUCACUGGCUCGAUACUGACGCUGAGGUGCGAAAGCGUGGGGAGCAAACAGGAUUAGAAACCCCAGUAGUCC